rnacentral:rRNA from 1 species
UACGUAGGUGGCGAGCGUUGUCCGGAUUCACUGGGCGUAAAGGGUGCGCAGGUGGGUUUGCAAGUUCGAUGUGAAAGCCCCGGGCUUAACCCGGGAAUGGCAUUGGAUACUGCAGAUCUGGAGGAUCGGAGGGGGGACUGGAAUUCUUGGUGUAGCAGUGAAAUGCGUAGAUAUCAAGAGGAACACCAGUGGCGAAGGCGAGUCCCUGGACGAUACCUGACACUGAGGCACGAAAGCUAGGGGAGCAAACAGG